rnacentral:lncRNA from 1 species
AAGUUCAUUAGCACCUGCUAGUUGCAAAAUAGGUACCUUCUGCAGCAUGGAUUACGACAAUUAUUGCAGGCUCUCGUAUGGCAACAAAAGAUUCCAAGGUAGGACGAGUACAGGAAGAAUUACUUUUCCGUAUGAUUCUGAUAAUGAGAUUAAAUUUCCAAUAGAAAGAAUUCGAUGCAUUGACAAUUCUGGACAUGAACAGGAUGAAAGAAAAGCAACACCAGGUCAGAAUUCUAAAUGGGGAAACAGAAUUUACAACACAAGGGAGAAAACCUGAGAAUGAUCGAAAUUCAAGAAGAUCAUAUGGAAGGGUUCUGAAAGAGAAACAGGCAGAACUAAAAAGAGAAAGGAAUCAGAAGCACUGAAGAGCUCGAAGAACACUUAGCCCGUUGCCUAACACUGAAUUGUGAUGAAUACCAUGAUCGCAUCAUCAAGAUCUUCAGGCAGGUAUGGUUUGAUCUGAACCCAGUGUCUAUAGACCCUGCAAUUCAGAAUGAUAACUGUUUCGGUGAUUAUUAACUCCACAGCAAAGUACCAUUGGUCUACUUGCAUAAUGUAAAUACUUCUAUUUAUUGGCUUCUAAGUGUUACAUUUAGUAGUUACUUGACAAUUCAGUGAUAAUCACAUAUUAACAAACACUGAAACGUUUGUACAGAAUUGUUGUGUAGAAGCGGCAUCAUGCAUAUUGUCAUGCAAAAAGCUUAUUUCCUUGAGUUGUUCAUGUCUUCUAUAUUUAGAGCAUAUUCUAUUUCUGUGCAUGUUCAAAAAAUUAGAUAAUUUUAUUUUAAAAAGAUAUAAUAAACUAAUAAUUCACUGAAAUUGUUUCAGCCCCCAUUCUCGCCAAAUUUUAAUGGUUGGAAUAAUGUUUUUUUUGAAAAAUGUGUAGUUGAAAAAGAAUGAAUUUUUUUUGAUUUGCGUGUAAUAUUAUUUUAUGGAAGAUUGUGUGGUUGAAAAAUAAGAGAAAGAGAGAAAUAAUGAGAAUGAGAAUGGGGGCCAAUCAUCAGUAUGCAAAUAGGAUAAGUCUAAACAAGAAUGCAAAAAUGUUAUAGAUCUAUUCAAUCAUUAUCACAUGCGAAUUAAACAGUGAAAAAUACCUGAAUUUAAGAUCACAAUAUGCACAGAAAUGGUAAACUCAGCAUAUGAAAUGUCUACAAAACUAAUCAAAAAAGGUAUUAGAUAUGAGAAAGUGCAUCCAACAAAAAGAAUAGCACACAACCUACUAUAUCAAGUUCUUUCAGCUGGAGUAAGAUGGCCCAACUGUUCUGCAGGGUAAUUUACACUCCUCAUAUUCCCUCCUCAUAUUCCACCAGUUUUUCCCAUGAUCAACUACUUCGUUUUCAUUUUUGCUGUCAUCCGUGUCUUACCUCUCCAACUGAAAUUCGGACACAUUAUUUGAACCAGGAUUUUCCGUAAGAAAUUGUUCCCAGAAUACAUCAUUGGCACCUGCUCGCACAUUGGUAGCCAUCCCAAGUUGCUGUUCUCCC